rnacentral:rRNA from 1 species
UACGGAGGGUGCAAGCGUUAUCCGGAUUCACUGGGUUUAAAGGGUGCGUAGGUGGAUUGGUAAGUCAGUGGUGAAAUCUCCGGGCUUAACCCGGAAACUGCCAUUGAUACUAUCAGUCUUGAAUACCGUGGAGGUCAGUAGAAUAUGUCAUGUAGCGGUGAAAUGCUUAGAUAUGACAUAGAAUACCAAUUGCGAAGGCAGCCCCCUGGGCUAACACUGACGCUCAGGCACGAAAGCGUGGGGAGCAAACAGG